rnacentral:rRNA from 1 species
AUUGAACGCUGGCGGCAUGCCUUACACAUGCAAGUCGAACGGUAACAGGUCUUCGGAUGCUGACGAGUGGCGAACGGAUGAGUAAUACAUCGGAACGUGCCUAGUAGUGGGGGAUAACUACUCGAAAGAGUGGCUAAUACCGCAUGAGAUCUACGGAUGAAAGCAGGGGAUCGCAAGACCUUGUGCUACUAGAGCGGCCGAUGGCAGAUUAGGUAGGUGGUGGGAUAAAAGCUUACCAAGCCGACGAUCUGUAGCUGGUCUGAGAGGACGAUCAGCCACCCUGGGACUGAGACACGGCCCAGACUCCUACGGGAGGCAGCAGUGGGGAAUUUUGGACAAUGGGCGCAAGCCUGAUCCAGCAAUGCCGCGUGCAGGAUGAAGGCCUUCGGGUUGUAAACUGCUUUUGUACGGAACGAAAAGCCCUGGGUUAAUACCCUGGGGUCAUGACGGUACCGUAAGAAUAAGCACCGGCUAACUACGUGCCAGCCGCCGCGGUAA